GCUGGGCGUGGUGGCUCACACCUGUAAUCCCAGCACUUUGGGAGGCUGAGGCGGGUGGAUCACCUGAGGUCAGGAGUUCGAGACCAGCCUGACCAACAUGGUGAAACCCUGUCUCUA
rnacentral:SRP_RNA from 1 species